rnacentral:lncRNA from 10 species
UUUUUUUUCUUUUUCAAAUUCAGAUGGUGAGAACUGGUCUGAAUGUACAAUUCAGUCUUACUGUUUUCCAUCAAGGUGUCACCAAUCUUCCAGUCUCCCAGGCAGAAGUUUUUGAGAGACAAAUGGAUGGAAAAACUUUUUGGCCCUCUUCCUUAGGAUCAGAAGAGCUUCAACCAGCACUACUACUUGAGGACCUAUGCAGUGUUUGUCCAUGAGCAUGGAAUGACUCAUACUGGCCUCAGAGUUAGGGACUCACUUUAAAGGAAAGGGGAUGCAGUAGUGGGCACAUGACUAAGAAAUCCACCGAUCCUCUCAUAUACUGCACCACCAGAAGCUGCUGGAUUAGCAGAGCAAAGGCAAAGAUUGACCAGACCAAGCCCUGAGACACAGUGUUGAGAGCCAAGACAUAAAGUUGUGAAGAUUCAGACCCAGAGCCCAGCAGGGCACAGGCUGGAGGGGUGAUGUGAGUGAUCAGUAACACCAUGAAGACUCUGCUCCUGGGUCAGGAAUGCUUUUUUGUCCCUGUUUUUGGAUUUUCCACCAUGAUCAGCCAAUGCAGAAAGAAAUCUAAAGGUGAAGGAAAGGCAGCGUUCAGCACUGAGCAAGUCCAUGUUGGAGAAAGUUCACAGGGAAUUGGAAAUCCUUGUCUUCGUGGUUCCUGGCUCAGCAGGACCCCUGUGGGGCCUCUCCCUCUCUUGGGAAAGAGAUUGCUCUAGAAGGUUUACUACACCAGUGAGGAGAAGAUGAGCGCAAGGGGGAUUGGCCGGCUGAGGGCGAAAUCAAGACUGGAGCCAAGUGCGCUGAGCUCUCACAUGAGGUCCUUUGCUCCUGUUCCCUGGAGGCAUAAGUGGCUGGGGUAGAGAGAAGCAGGGGUAUUUCUUCUGUCCUUUCUUGCUUAGGGAUUGGGGGUGGAAAUCUCCCCGCAUCUAAGGAAAUUUGAAAAGACAAACUAUGGCUGCUUCUUCAAGCAAACCACCUCACCACACUAUCCAGGGGAUAAAACCCGCUUGCUGCUGCUAAAUUAUGCCAAGAGAGAACAUUCUGAUAUUUCUCCUCAAUUCUAGGCAUGACAGCGUGACUUGGUGCUUAAAGGCAUGGAGUUUUGAGUUGCAGACCUAGGUUUGAGUGCUGAAUCUACUAGCUUCAGGGUGUUAAAAAAGUUUCUUAAUCUCUCUAAACCUUAUUUUUCUCAAAGAUAAAAAACUGGGUGUAGUUGUGAGUAUAGUGAAUGCACAUAGUAUGUGCCUUUGGCAUGUUAAUUCACUAUUAUUCUGGACAUAAUUUCUCCUAAGAAAAAGGAUGAACUAAUUGCAGGGCCUAGCCUAAGCUCUGAGAAGUCAUUCGUUAUAGCAUUUCAGUCCAUAGUAAACAAGAAGAAAUGAGGUAAAGAGUUUAAACCAGGGAAGGCAUAGCUGUGGUCACCAAACAACCUGUUAAAGGCGAGCUGUAGGCACCAAAAAACCUAUUAUGGACUGAAUUGUGUUCCUCAAAUUCAUAUGUUGAAGUGCUAACCCCAAGUACCAAAUGUGACUGUAUUUGGGGAUAGGGUCCCUGAAGAAGUCACUCAGCUGGAAGGAGUCAUAUUGGAUUAGGUGUUGGGAAUUGGCUGGCCAAGGGAGAAAUCAAGGCUGGAACCAAGUGCUGAACUCUCACAUCAGGUCCUUUGCUCCUGUUCCCUGGACCCUAAUCCAAUAUGACUGGCAUCUUUAUAUGAAGAGGAAGAGGCACCAGAGGGUACACACGCAGAGAAAAGGCCAUGUGUGGACACAGUAAGAUGACGGACAUCUGUAAGCCAAGGAGGGAAACCUCAGAAGAAACCAGCCUUGCCUGCACCUUGAUCUUGGAGGUCCAGUCUCCAGAACUGUGAAAAAAAUGAACUGGUGUUGUUUAAAUCCCCCAGUCGUGGUAUUUUGUCAUGGUGGCCCUAGAAGACAAUAUACAACCCAAAGGAAUAUUCUUUCCACUUUCUCCCUCUUCCACUUUAUAGUUUUUUCUCCUUCGUUUCUUUCUUUUUCUCUUUUACUUUCCUUUUCUUCUCUUCUCUUUCCUCUGGUUUUUAAUUUUAAUUUUAAUUUUUGGCCUUCCUAUACCUCCAUUUGCCUCUCCAGGAAGCUGAAUUCCAGACAAUUAAUCAUUCAUCUCAUCAGUUCAGCAAAGCAAAUGCCCUCAAUGGUUUCUUUUGUGAUUCGAUUAUUAUGGGAUCAGAAUGUAUCUUAUUCCUCUGGGAAAAAUGAAACAUAAAAAUUUCAGAAAUAAGGUUUUGGGCCAGCUUCAUUGGUUUUAAGAGAAGGAAGGGAGGAGACUCAUGCAGGUUUGACGCUGAGCAGCACCAUGUGGUUGGGCCUGGCAGGCACUCGAGGCUUUAGGUCUUGGUUUGAAUCCAGACUAGAAAAUCAUUACUUAUUAAAAGCCUUGAGGAUAUGGGUCUAGGAAAGUCUAUGUGAAGAGAUAAUAGUUUGGAAAAAGUUUUGCAGAACUAAAGAAAAGUUUCCACAGUUACCUUUUCUGUCCUAAUGUAGAGCAUCUUUGUUAACUAGGUCUUGGAUCAAUCCAAGCUGUGUCUGAGAAUAACCAUUUAUAAUUUCUCACUGGCCAGCACUAACACCCUUUAGAAAAGGAACUCAAAGCAGCCCUAGCAGCCAGAGUCAUGCGAUCAUGGUGGGAGUACAGCUCCUCACCAAGGUCAGCUCCUCAGUGAAAUCCAUGCCUUCUGGAGGACUGCUUGUAAAUAAAUAUUAAGCACAACCAUUAAAAAAUAAUUUGGCUGUGACCAUCAAAUAGUGAAAGAGUGUAUCAAUUUCAUUAUUAUAUAAGCAUACAUGACCAAAUUCAGCUAGAGUGGAGUCUUGGCUCAAGUACCAAGCUUGGAUUUCCCCAAGGAACACUUUCCCAUAAUUCAUAAUGAAAAUCUUUCCAUUUACUGUGGUUCAACUAUUUGCAGAAUUUUCAGGCUGGGCUCAGUGGCCCUAAAUUUAUGCAUGCUGGUAUACUGAGAAGAUCACCAUGUUACAGAGGCUCUUCUCUCCCAGUUUACUCCUGGAGUCUAUUUAAUUUGCAGCUCUAACUCUGCGUUCCCAGGAUUGCAUCAGUUGGACUUUCCUCACAUCUCAGCAGCCGCAGUUGGGUUGAAAUGAGAUACUCCCAUCUCUGGUCACUGUGCUCUGGCCCUCCAGGACAUUCCUCUCACCCGCUGCCCACAGCAUAGCUGCUGAGAGUCCUCUGCCCAGGAGUCCCAAGUGAGAGGACAGUCUUGACUCUGCCUGCCCCCCUUUAGUGACAUCCUUCAGGGAUUCCUCAGUUCAUUCAUUUCCUAGGGCUGCUGAAACAAGUUACCCCAAACUGCGCAGCUUAAAACAAUACAAAUAUUAUGCUUUCAAAGUCUGAGAGUCAAGAAGUUGAAACUCAUGGUGUUGCCAGGACCAUGCUCCCUCUGAAGGAAGGAGAAGAGUCCUUCCUUGCCUCUUCCUAGAUUCUGGUGGCUCCUGGCAUUGUGGCUGUAUCUCUCCAGUCCCUGCCUCUGUCAUCACACGGCCAUCUUUCUUCUUUUUUUUGAGAUGGAGUCUUGCUCUGUGGCCCAGGCUGGAGUGCAGUGGCGCGAUCUCAGCUCACUGCAACUUUCGCCUCCCGGGCUCAAGCGAUUCUCCUGCCUCAGCCUCCUGAGUAGCUGGGAUUACAGGCGCGCGCCACCAGGACCUGCUAAAUUUUUGUAUUUUUAGUAGAGACGGGGUUUCACCAUGUUGGUCAGGCUGGUCUCGAACACCUGACCUCGUGAUCCAUCUGCCUCAGCCUCCCAAAGUGCUGGGAUUACAGGCGUGAGCCACUGCGCCCAGCCGUCUCUUUCUUCUUAUAAGAACACCAGUCAUUGGGUUUAGGGUCCAUCCUAAUCCAGUAUGACCUCAUCCUAACCUAACUAAUUAUAUCUACAAAGACCCUAUUUUCAAAUAAGGUAGCAAUCUGAGGGUUCCAGGUGGACAUGAAUUGAGUGAGGAGGGGAGGGGCACUUUUUAACCCAGUAUACUCAGGGACCUUGCUGACCCUGCCUCUCUGCUCACACACACCAUACAGGGUCACCUGGUGGUGACUGCUAAAAGUAACAAGCUACCAUUUGUCUUGGAUUCCAAACCAAUUCAGAAGAACCCUGGGAGCCGCAUGACUAUGAAGAACUAUUUCUCACCAUGGAAAUUACAGCAGAACAUUCACUGGGAUCGUUGUUUGUUAUGAAACAGAGAUGCACUGUAAGAAGGACUUGACCUGUUGUUCCUGACAUUGAAGAUGGAUGGAGACACCAGGAACCAAGGAAUGAGGAUGGCUUCUGGAAGGUGGAAAAAGCAAGGAAACAUUCUCCCCCAGACCCUCCAGAAAGGAACUCAGCCCUGCUGACAUCUUUGUUUUUCUUUUCUCUUUUGAGUAGAGAUGAGGUCUCCCUAUGUUGUGGAGGCUGGUCUCGAACUCCUGGGCUCAAGUGAUCAUCCUGCUUCGACCUCCCAAAGUGCUGGGAUUACAGGUGUGAGCCACAGCACCUGGCCUCCUAUGGACAUCUUAAUUUUAGUCCAGUGAGAUUCAUAUUUGAAUUUCUGACCUACAGAACCACAAGGCAAUAACUUUGUGUUGUUUUAAGAUGCUGAAUUUUUGGUUUUUUGUUACGGCAGCCCAAGAAAAGAAAUAUAGCAUUGUAUUACAUCAAAAAAAAUGUCUACCUUUUCAGUGGAAUUUGCACUGUACAAUGUUUAGGCACAAUGCUCAGGGGUU